GAGUUUGAUCCUGGCUCAGGAUGAACGCUAGCGGCAGGCUUAACACAUGCAAGUCGAGGGGUAACAGGGAAAAGCUUGCUUUUCCGCUGACGACCGGCGCACGGGUGCGUAACACGUAUGCAACCUACCUCUUACUGAAGGAUAGCCCAGAGAAAUUUGGAUUAAUACUUCAUAACACCACAAGAUCGCAUGAUCUAAUGGUUAAAGGUUACGGUAAGAGAUGGGCAUGCGUCCUAUUAGUUUGUUGGUGAGGUAAUGGCUCACCAAGACUACGAUAGGUAGGGGGUCUGAGAGGAUUAUCCCCCACACUGGUACUGAGACACGGACCAGACUCCUACGGGAGGCAGCAGUGAGGAAUAUUGCGCAAUGGACGAAAGUCUGACGCAGCCAUGCCGCGUGAAGGAUGACGGCGCUACGCGUUGUAAACUUCUUUUAUAUACCAAGAAACCUUCGGACGUGUCCGAAGCUGACGGUAGUAUAUGAAUAAGCACCGGCUAACUCCGUGCCAGCAGCCGCGGUAAUACGGAGGGUGCAAGCGUUAUCCGGAUUUAUUGGGUUUAAAGGGUCCGUAGGCGGAUCAUUAAGUCAGUGGUGAAAGCCGACAGCUCAACUGUCGAACUGCCAUUGAUACUGGUGAUCUUGAGUACGGUUGAAGUAGGCGGAAUAUGACAUGUAGCGGUGAAAUGCUUAGAUAUGUCAUAGAACACC
rnacentral:rRNA from 1 species